AACCCUGAUUCUAGACCUCCAGACUCCCCUAUCAAGGGUCAAGUCCUCGGUAACCUGCAUUCUAGUCAUGUCCUGCCUAAUCACCUCUACCCAAUGUUUCCUAGGCCUCCCUCUACCCCUUUUUCAAGUCUCUCCCUUAAAAUAAAAAGGCCCAAAGUGUAGAUCCUCUCUCCACAAGUAGAAAAAUAUGAACUUUCUCCCUCCUUUCAACAAUCACUUUCGACAAAGCAGU
rnacentral:lncRNA from 1 species